UACGUAGGGCGCGAGCGUCGUCCGGAUUUAUUGGGCGUAAAGAGCUCGUAGGCGGUUUGUUGCGUCGGCCGUGAAAACCUGCAGCUUAACUGUGGGCCUGCGGCCGAUACGGGCAGACUUGAGUUCGGUAGGGGAGACUGGAAUUCCUGGUGUAGCGGUGAAAUGCGCAGAUAUCAGGAGGAACACCGGUGGCGAAGGCGGGUCUCUGGGCCGAUACUGACGCUCAGGAGCGAAAGCGUGGGGAGCGAACAGG
rnacentral:rRNA from 1 species